rnacentral:rRNA from 1 species
GACGAACGCUGGCGGCGUGCUUAACACAUGCAAGUCGAACGGAAAGGCCCUGCUUUUGUGGGGUGCUCGAGUGGCGAACGGGUGAGUAACACGUGAGUAACCUGCCCUUGACUUUGGGAUAACUUCAGGAAACUGGGGCUAAUACCGGAUAGGAGCUCCUGCUGCAUGGUGGGGGUUGGAAAGUUUCGGCGGUUGGGGAUGGACUCGCGGCUUAUCAGCUUGUUGGUGGGGUAGUGGCUUACCAAGGCUUUGACGGGUAGCCGGCCUGUGAGGGUGACCGGCCACAUUGGGACUGCGAUACGGCCCAGACUCCUACGGGAGGCAGCAGUGGGGAAUAUUGCACAAUGGGCGGAAGCCUGAUGCAGCAACGCCGCGUGCGGGAUGACGGCCUUCGGGUUGUAAACCGCUUUCGCCUGUGACGAAGCGUGAGUGACGGUAAUGGGUAAAGAAGCACCGGCUAACUACGUG